rnacentral:rRNA from 1 species
GAUGAACGCUAGCUACAGGCUUAACACAUGCAAGUCGAGGGGUAACAAGAGAAAAGCUUGCUUUUCUUGUUGACGACCGGCGCACGGGUGAGUAACGCGUAUCCAACCUGCCCAUAACUAGGGAAUAACCUUGCGAAAGUAAGACUAAUACCCUAUAAUUUCCUUUGACGGCAUCGGACGAGGAAUAAAGAUUUAUCGGUUAUGGAUGGGGAUGCGUCUGACCAGUUUGUUGGCGGGGUAAAGGCCGACCAAGGCAACGAUCAGUAGGGGUUCUGAGAGGAAGGUCCCCCACAUUGGAACUGAGACACGGUCCAAACUACUACGGGAGGCAGCAGUGAGGAAUAUUGGUCAAUGGGCGAAAGCCUGAACCAGCCAAGUAGCGUGCAGGAUGACGGCCCUAUGGGUUGUAAACUGCUUUUAUACAGGAAUAAAGUUAGCCACGUGUGGUUAUUUGUAGGUACUGUAUGAAUAAGGACCGGCUAAUUCCGUGCCAGCCGCCGCUGUAA